rnacentral:rRNA from 1 species
CAGGCCUAACACAUGCAAGUCGAGCGGACCAUUCCUUCGGGGAUGGUUAGCGGCGGACGGGUGAGUAACACGUAGGCAACCUGCCUGUAAGAUCGGGAUAACUACCGGAAACGGUAGCUAAGACCGGAUAGCUGGUUUCUCCGCAUGGGGGAAUCAUGAAACACGGGGCAACCUGUGGCUUACGGAUGGGCCUGCGGCGCAUUAGCUAGUUGGUGGGGUAACGGCCCACCAAGGCGACGAUGCGUAGCCGACCUGAGAGGGUGAUCGGCCACACUGGGACUGAGACACGGCCCAGACUCCUACGGGAGGCAGCAGUAGGGAAUCUUCCGCAAUGGGCGCAAGCCUGACGGAGCAACGCCGCGUGAGUGAUGAAGGUUUUCGGAUCGUAAAGCUCUGUUGCCAAGGAAGAACGCCUCGGAGAGUAACUGCUCUGAGGGUGACGGUACUUGAGAAGAAAGCCCCGGCUAACUACGUGCCAGCAGCCGCGGUAAUACGUAGGGGGCAAGCGUUGUCCGGAAUUAUUGGGCGAAAAGCGCGCGCAGGCGGUCUUUUAAGUUUGGUGUUUAAGCCCGGGGCUCAACCCCGGUUCGCACUGAAAACUGGGAGACUUGAGUGCAGGAGAGGAAAGCGGAAUUCCACGUGUAGCGGUGAAAUGCGUAGAGAUGUGGAGGAACACCAGUGGCGAAGGCGGCUUUCUGGACUGUAACUGACGCUGAGGCGCGAAAGCGUGGGGAGCAAACAGGAUUAGAU